GAUGAACGCUAGCUACAGGCUUAACACAUGCAAGUCGAGGGACCGGCGCACGGGUGAGUAACACGUAUCCAACCUUCCCUUUACUCUGUGAUAGCCUUUCGACAGAAAGAUUAAUACCCGAUAUAAAGGAUGGGGAUGCGUUCCAUUAGGUUGUUGGGGAGGUAACGGCCCACCAAGCCUUCGAUGGAUAGGGGUUCUGAGAGGAAGGUCACCCACAUUGGAACUGAGAAACGGUCCAAACUCCUACGGGAGGCAGCAGUGAGGAAUAGUGGGCAAUGGGCGCUAGCCUGAACCAGCCAAGUAGCGUGAAGGAUGAAGGCUUAUGGGUCGUAAACUUCUUUUAUAUAAGAAUAUGUAUUAUAUGAAUAAGGAUCGGCUAACUCCGUGCCAGCCGCCGCGGUAAUAC
rnacentral:rRNA from 1 species